rnacentral:lncRNA from 1 species
UAUACAAAUCAUAAGAACCUUGAGUAUUUCAUGUCAAUACAAAUUUUGAAUUGUUUCUAAGCUUGUUAGAGCAUAUUCUUAGUAUGAUUUGAAUUCAAGAUUACUUAUUGACAAUAAAAUAAUAAGAUUUCUUAAAUUCUAUUUUUAAAUAAUUUUAUCUUCCAUCAAAAAAAAAAUAGUAUUUGAUCAACAAUAGAUGAUUUUCUUAAAAC